rnacentral:lncRNA from 10 species
GUUAGCAUUUAUUUUUCUAUUUACCAGUCAUUUGGAAUUUGGACAUUUUCUGUCCUGUGGUUGUGGUGAGGGUGUGGGUUUUGUGUUGUUUUAUAUAUUCUUUGUUAUUUUUUAUUCUAGUUUUUGUUUUUGUUUUGGAAGGUAUUUUAGAGAAAUAAGAUUUCUGUGGUUACCAUGACCUGCUGUUACAGAUUACAUGGUACCCUCUCUUCAUAUGUUGAAGUCCUAGCCACCCCGCCGAACCUCAGAAUGUGACUGUAUUUGGAGAUAGGGUCUUUACAGAGGAAAUCAAGUUAAAAUGAAGUCAUUAGGGCAGGCCCUAAUCCGAUAUGAUCCUGUGUUCUUAGAAGAGGAAAUGUGGACUCAGGUGUGUAUGGAGGGAAGAUGUCUUGCAAGCCCAAGGAGAAGAUGGCCAUCUGAGCCCACGUCCUGGAACAGAGACUUCCCUCACAGCCUCAGAAAGAACCAGCCCUGCUGACGUCUUGAUCUCAGACCUCCAGCCUCCAGAACUGGGAGACGAUUCAGUCAGCAUCUACACAACACAGGGUUGAACUGUGCGGGUCCACUUCUAUGCAGAUUAUUUUCUUUUUUCUUUUUUGAGACAGAGUCUCGCCCGGUUGCUCAGGCUGAAGUGUAGUGGUGUGAUCUUGGCUUACUGCAGCUUCCACCUCCCAGGUGCAAGUGAUUCUCCUGCCUCAGCUUCCCAAGUAGCUGGGACUAUGGGUACUCGCCACCACACCUGGCUAAUUUUUGUAUUUUUAGUAGAGAUGGGGUUUCACCAUGUUGGUCAGGCUGGUCUUGAACUCCUGACCCCAAGUGAUCUGCCUGCCUUGGCCUCCCAGAUUGCUGGGAUUACAGGUGUGAGCCACCGUGCCCGGCCCUAUAUAACUCUUUGUGCAAGUUUUUACCCCUAAAAGAUAUCUGCCAUCUCAGCCAUGGAACAGACACUGUAAGAACAUGAAGGCUCAAGGGCAGGGCUGGCUACAUAAUUUGUGGGACCCAUUACAAAAUGAACAUGGAGAAAAAACUAGAAAAAAGUGUAGUACAAGGUACUAUAAUAGAUUUUUCCUUUGAAAACAGUUUAAUACUUAUAAAAUGUAAUAGAGGGAAAUAGUGACACGUGAGUAACAAAAUGGGCGUAUCAAUUGGUCUAUGCUAUUUUUGGUGUUAUAAUUUUACCUAAUAUAAUAAGCAGCAACACUUUGUUAGUGAGACGGGCUUUCACCAUGUUGGCCAGGCUGGUCUGGAACUCCUGACCUCAGGUGAUCCGCCUGCCUCAGCCUUCCAAAGUGCUGGGAUUACAGGUGUGAGCCUCUGCGCCCGGCUGUGAUGUCUUGAUUGAUCAUAGGAUUUUUCUGGCUAUUCUAGCUACUUCCAAUUCGCUUCAGCCAAUUUAGUUGAAGUUUUAUCACUUGUGACUUCAGAGUCCUGGUUAAUAUCCUGUUGCCCUCAGGACAUGCAGGAUGGAGGAAGGCACCAGGGAGCCGAGGGAAGUGAGCAGAGAGGCAGUCACUUCAGGGCCACCAGCAUAGCCCCCGUCACUGUCCACAGACACAGGCCCUUCCCCUUCUCAUGGUUGAGCAGGCUCCACCUCACUUCCGUGUAUGACUUCAUAGACCGUUAGGUUCCGUGGUACCCUGGAGUCCACAGCUGCUGAAUCUGAAGGGCCAUCAGAAGACUGGCUUCUCCAUGAUGGUUUAUGGACUAAGGCAAAGAUGAGCAGAGCCAUGGCCCUCUUCUUUGUUCUCUGCUGGAUCCAAGAGUCGGGGGUCUCCCUAUGUUUCCCAGGCUGGCCUCGAACUCCUGACCUCAAGUGAUCCUCCCACCUCAGCCUCCCCGAGUGCUGGGAUUAAAGACGUGAGCCACGGCACCUGGCCUGAAUUUUCCUCAAAUUCAAAAAAUCCUGAUGAAGGUUUGGCUAAAAUCUUUGGUGAGUUACCCCACUCCCUGUGGAACCUCAGGCUGGAUUUGAAGAGUUGCGUGCAUGGUCCUCAUUGUCUCCCAGGUAACCUGUUCCCGCUGCUGUGAAGGGAAGGCAGGUGCUCUUCCUUGAGGCUAGAAUCUGUCUACGUGUCACAGUCUCAGGAAAUUAAGCAAAACAGAUGAUAAACACCUCAAAAGGACCCUACUGAGCAUCAGUGGAGCAGAGCAGGGCCAUGUGGGACUGCGGCGUCAGAUGCCACCUCACACUAGCUGUGACACACCUGCCUCGCCAGUUUCUGCUCUGAGGCCCCAAAGCCGAGCUGAACCUCCUCCAGGGGUUCUCAGCCCUAACUGAGCAUGAAAACCCCUGGGGCAAUCCUCUUUUUAACAAUUGAGACAUUCCACACACACCCCACAUCAGAUUUUGGGGUGUGGGGAUAGACCUUCACAUUUGUAGUUUUCUAACCCUCCAGGGGACACUAGGCUGAGACUCAUUGGUCUCCACUCUGAACCUUCCACUGAACAUGUGAGAAAAACUAAGGCCCAGGGAAGUCUUUAGCAGAGAGCUGAGACGGAGAAAAGGGUUCUGAACCACAGCUGUCUGCUGAAGGAAGCUGUCCAAAGGCCAGUGAAGUCUCUCCUGAGGGUGCCUGGGCUGUGCAUCAGGAGUGAAGGUUGAGGGUCACCUUAGGUGUGAGAAGGAGCAACUGGGAGAGUGGCGCUGAUGCUUCCCCCCGGGUUAGGAGGCAUUUGGAUCACAGAGCGAUGCCUGUUCAUUCCUGCUUGCAAGGGAGCAGAUCUCUCGACACCCGAUGGGCCUCUAUUCCGUUCCGGCAGCUGUCCGUGUCAGGAGCGCUGGGCUUGCUCCUCCCCACGGGAGCCAUCACAGAGGCCUCGGGCAGUCUGCAUAGACAACUGCCUGGCAGGUGACCAGGAGGGGAUGCAUGAGCAGAUGCAGGUAGCACUCGCAGUCCCCCUAGCUGUGCCCUCAGCACCUGCUGUCUAGGAGGCAGAAGCCUUGUUCUCGGCCUUGCAGGUGACCCCAGUGUCUCUGAAUUCGGCCCCAUAUGUGUAGGAGGGGAGUGAUUGCAUCUGAAGAUGGGAGUCUGGUUGGGGGUUUGGGAAGCUCCCAUCACCCCUCAAGAGUCCACUGACCAGCCCAGCUCACACCAGGUGGGCCUUGGCACUGGAGGCCACGGCUCAACUCUGCAGUUCCCUCUGGGCAGCAUUUCCAGGGACUCGUAGGUCAGCAUGGUCAUCAAGGACAGGUGGUGAGAGCAGCUCCUCAUUGUCCUGGUGACCCCGAUGGUUCAUUUUCUGGUGUCUCUGUGGUGAGCUCCUGUUACAUCAAGCGAGUGGAAACCACCGAGGACCAACAGCCCUGGAAAUGCACUGAGAAUGCAGGAUGAGUGGGCUUUGUGAGGACUGUUUUCUGUGACUUAGCAAGGAAAGCCUGGAAGGGAAAGUAAAACUGCUUCUUCCCAGGGAAGCCAGAAACCUGAGAACUUAAAAGGGAAGGAGAACUUAAUAUAUUUCAAAAAUGUAACCCUUGUGAAUUAGCAACAGCUUUAUAAACAAAGAGAUUUCCGAGCUUAUAGAAUCUAUUCUGCUUUGUUUCUGCCCCCAUGGCUCCUACCCCUGUUUUUGUGGGUACAAUUUUCAUAUAGAACAUUUUUACACAAGCUUCAAAACUCUCUGAGGACAGCUUUCCCCUUUGUGUCUGUCGGGUCCCAGGCAGUCACAUCCCAGGAAGUGCUGGGGUUGGGCUCCUUGCUCCACAUCCUUCUUCAGUGGCACGAAGCGUGGGGUGGAGUGUGUGAGUCAUGUGUGAUCUUGGUGUGGGCUAUGGCUGGUCUGCAGCACCCCUUCAAUGACUGCUUCAAGGGCUUUUCAUGAUGCUUGUAGCUCAUGAGCUAGUGUUUCCUAGAUGCUGUUUCCAGGUGUCUUGCAUGUCACACACUGGCCUACCAGGGCUGGAGUGAGAUCAUGAGCGCCAGAUUGUUGGUGAAGGAAGUUGACAGAGACAUCGAAUGUCGGUGAACAGGAGUGACCUUGGGUCUCAAUAAAUACUGUGGUCAACUGAAUCCAGAACCCACCCUUACCAGCAGGGCCCACUUCUUCCCCAGCAGGCCGAGCUCUUCCCCUCCUGUCUUCCCUGGCCCUUGCUUUGUAGCUCUGUGUGGCUGUGUCAUGUCUGGUUGUAUCUGUAUAUACUUCUGCCUCUCCCGCUAUCUAGAUGGCUCGGGGAGGCACACCACACACCAGGUCACCUUCCUCUCUGAACCCCCAGCACCUCAUACUGUUUCUGUGCAGAGAUAAGGCUGGGUGAAAGCUUGUGUGAAUGAUCUGAAGUCUUCUACUCUAGGCCAGUCUCCAGGAGCAUUAUGAUCUUUAGGAGGGUGGGCUUGGUUCCUCUGUACAAUAAUGGGUCAUAAAACUGAGUGGUCAAGAUCAUCCCGGUGAGGGCAGUCCGUGUGUUGCCAUAGUUGCUGUACCGGUUAAGAAUGCACCUGGCUGCAAUUUCCUGAAAACCUGACGUAUAGUGGCUUAAACAAAGAGUGGUUUAUUUUCCUUCUGUCAUAGCAAUCUGGGGGAGGCCACUGUGGCUUUGGCGCAGGAGGUCGGGAAAGGCCCGCUUCUCUGAUAUCAUUGGGGGCCUCCCCAGUGCUUGUGUGGCAGAAUGACAAGAGGAAGAAGAAGGAGAAUUAUGGCACUGAGUAUCAUGAGAUUUGGGGUCAUAUAUCUUUAGUGGGCGGUGUUUGCUGCCCCAAAUGUCUCAUGCCAUUAAAAUGUUCUGGAAAUGAUUUAGGUAGUUGGAGUUUCCUUCCCAAAGACAAGGCAUUUACAGCAUGAUGUCCAAUAUCCAUUGAGUUUGUGUCAUGCAUUCAUUGUAUUCAUAGUCUGCUUUAGGUACUUAGCAAAAUAUUGCUGAUAUUAACAUGCCUUUGUUUGCUUCACUGGAGAUGAAAUUGUGCUCCAAGUGUUUUCCAAGGUUCCGUAUGACCCAUCAUUUGAUGAAACAAGAACAGCAGUCAGAUCCAUUACAAAGAGAGACACACAAAAAAACUAUGUGAAAAUGAGCUUAGCCCCUGGUGUUGUGUUGGAACUUCAGAUGCUUGCAGACACUUCAUGAAUGCUCUGUGACACUCAGAAUAGGCUAUUCCCAACAGAAGAGCUUGAACAAUGCUGCAUUUGCAUCAGGUUCAAAUGAGCGAGAGGAACAUUUGGCUAAAAUAUUUGGAACCAGCAUUGCUUGGAAUUCUCCUAAACCAGAAUAUUUCCUUGGCAGUGUGGACAAAAUUCCUGAUAAAGAUCACCUUUCAGAGGAGAAGAAUUUUAAAGAAUCCUGUCUGUUCGACAGGGAUUUAAGAGAGCAGUUAACUACUAUAGAUAAAGAAACACUUCAAGGAGCAGCUAAACCAGAUGCUCACUUUAGGACUAUGCCCUGCGGGCAGCUUCUGCACUUCCUGCAGAGGAACACCAUCAUCGCCGCCGUCUCAGGGGUGGCCAUCCUCAUGGCCAUCGUGCUGUUGCUGCUUGGGUUGGCCUCAUACAUCAGGAAGAAACAGCCAUCGGACAUGUAUUCCUGACCACAGAAGGAAGAGCAGCUCCCCACAGCCCUUCAGUCCUGCCUGACACUGCACUGAAUGCUCAGCUUGCCCCUAGAGCAAUGGGGUGGAGAUCUCCUCUGGCAAACACGACAUAUAAUAUUUUUAUAAUGGAUGGAAAGACAUGGUGGCACAAUUCUGAAGAAAAAAAUUUCACAAAACUUGCAAAAAAACAGAAACAGUUGAAGAGCAGCUCCUGUGUCUAAGCCAGGUCGUGGGGCCGUCAAACCAGGACUUGAAACCACAAUGCGAGGACAUUCUCCAUCUGCGCACCACAGGGAGGCAAUUCCAUUUCUGCCCGGGAGGUGUAUUCUACAAAAACGUCUGCUUCCCAUCCCAAUUUGAAUGGACCAAGAAAAACUGCUUUACCAUAGGACACUUGUGGCAAUAUGGCACCGAUGGCUGGCGUCGGUGAACCCGACAGACUAUGGAUUUAUCAUUUAAUAAAGCAUUGAUUCAUUUUUUCAGUCAUUCAUUGAACAGAUAUUAAUAGACCACCUCACAUGCUGACAAUAUCAAAAUACAAUGAGGAAACUAACAGUGACCCAGGCAUGCAUUCUUCCCCGAGCAAGAUCACAGUCCAUGGUGUGAGCACAACCAUACUAAAUAGCUUUUAUGGGAGGUGGGAGUACAGAAAGUAUUAUAUCUGCAAAGAAACUGCUAAGAAUUGUGGGAGCGCCCCAGGAGGUGAUUUCCUGCUUGCGUGACCAGCACAAAGAAAUGGGGUAAUUGAGAGUGUCAUGAAGUGGGGUUAUUUAUUUAUUGAGUC